CUCCAGUGCGGGAGAACCGGAGCCGGAGCGCGGGGCUGAGCGCUGUGACGCGCUGAACUUGAGUUCUUGCCGCAAGGCUUUCCGGAGGGCACGGCGUACAGACGAAGUAUUUCUGAGUGGAUGACCUCGGGAAUACACCUCGGAGACCUCGACGCAGUCGUCGGUACACAUCUGGGAGCCGGACCCAAGAGUGCAGGCUGUCAGAGGGAGCUGCUUCAAAGGAAAACAGGACAGUGCGGUGAAUAUGGCCGAUUUGACACCAACACUGAGCUGACUCUGGAACUAAAUGGUACCGUAUCAGAUUUCGUAAGUUCAGAUUUAGCGAGGGCGCAAGAGGACUUCAGCUGGAGGUGACGGUUACAACGAAAAUCUGAUACACUGCAUUUCUUAAAUAUUUUUAAGAAAAGGAAUCCUUGAAAAAUCAGAGGAUCCAAUAAUAUUAUUAGACAUAGCAGUACUCCUAUAUGAUAUUGAUACUGAAUGUGGCCUUGUGUUAGCUUAUUUGUUCAAAUGGAUGAAAAAGGAAAAGAAAAAAAAGCUAAAUUCUCAAAAAUGCAAAAGUACAGAUGCUACAUGUAGUAAUUGUUCCUUCAAGCUGGUUAUAUUUUUAUUUAUAUUUUUGAAUCUAUUAUUAAACCUUUUACCGUUUCCUGGGACAGUCUGGUAUGGUCUUUGUGCCACAUGCCGGUUUCAGUAGGUGAGACAGUUUGACCGGCGUGGUAUUAGAUGUGCAACAGUUUCCCUUGUCGGACGAGUACAAUGAGCAGGUACAAAGGGAGACCCGCAUCAGUAUUGGUUGUUAUGAUACUUUUUACAGAAAAUAUGCCCUUAUGCCCUUUAUAAUCGCUCGAUCAGAUUAAAAUAGUGAUAACAGAGAAAUAAAACAGGACGUCUAUGGCGCUGAAGUGAAAGCAGGAGGAUAAUAUUUUUUCCAGAACUGCUCAUUUUCAGGAAGGUGCAUUAAAGGGAAACUGAUGCAGGAUUCUAUGUAGACUUUUAUGCACAGAAGCAUUUAGUGCCCACAUCAUUUUAAAGAA